UUAUUAUUAUUAUUAUUAUUGCCAAUUUCAAAGAGUUUUCUGGUAAUUGACGUCCAUUUAGCUUUAAGCUGUUCUGGUUGUUGACUUGCUAUGCUUUGCACCAGCCUUUAGUCUGUUGUCUAGGGAUAGAUAAGUGAACCUACUCUAUGCAUACCUCAAUACUGACCGUAAUACUUUGUUCUCCUCACAAGUUUUCAAAUUUUUAUGAUUUGAAUGAUUUCAUGGUGGAAAAUUAACAAAAAAGGUUAUGUCUUGUGUGUGUAUAAAUAUAUAGUGCAUACAUCCAAUGCUGCAGAUCCCUCUUUUGUUAAAGUCUUAUUCUGCUUUUGUUAAUCACUCUGUUUUCUGCCUUUUACUUUUUACUGACUUGAGAUGUGAUCCUUUUACCAUCAUGUGGACAAGGGGGAUGAUAAUCUUUCUGAUUCUUUUUAUUGAUUUUGAGACUCAAUUUCAAUGAUCAAAUGAACUUCUUUUCUAUUGGAUUGUUUGGCCACUUAUUUUUGGUUGUUAUGAUAGCCAACUACAUGUUCAAGUAAGUUGUGUUUUUUGUUGUCACUUGAUCUCAGUUGGAUGGUAUUUUGCUCAACCUGACUUUUAUCUAUAUCUGCCUUUGAUGUAGCCUCAGUUGUCACCAGAACUGGGAGAUAUUCCACGGAGUAACUUCCAGUUUGAUUUUGAGUUUGAGCGAAAAAUUUUGGCUGAAGCUGAGAAGGAAACCCAGAACUGGAGCAGGCUUGGGUUGGAAAAUCUUCCAUCUAAACCAACAGAAUCAGCUUCUUCAUUGGUAUGCUAUUUAUGUUGUUCUAUUUGGUUGUUUUUUUUUAAUUUAUUUUGGUGAUGGAGGUUGGAACUGCGGAUCGAACACAUUGGGAGCAUUUUUAGACUCAGGUAUUUGGUGAUGGCAUGGCAAUGAAACAUGACAGUAUCUGGUGCUUGCUUGUGUGAUGAGACCAAUCACUUGAAAACCUCUUGAUUUUAAGUAAUUGCUGUCGUGUUUUUAUAACCGUACCUUAUUAUUGACUGAUUUCUUGCAUUCAAGAUAGAAAUCUCUAGGAUAUUAGUUCACAACUUUUUCUUUCCACCGUUGAAUUAUGAAAUGAACAUCAUUUCACAAAAUGCAAAUGCAGGGUUCAACUGUAGAUCCUGUAGUGAGCAAAUAUAUUGCAUCAGGACUCAAUCGAGAAGCUGUUCGUCUUGCUGUUGCUAACUAUGGUGACAAUCCGACUAAGGUUCAGGAAUUUGUCAAUGGCUACACCCUUUUAAGAGAAAUGGGAUUUGCAUCGAACAAUGUUGCUGAAGCUUUACACAUGUACGACAAUGACGCAGACAAGGCAUUGACACAUUUUCUUAACAGCACAUCGUAAACAUACUGGAAACGUGUGGCUGAAUCCUGAAUGAGCGUGGUGUGGUGUGGUGGCAUA
rnacentral:misc_RNA from 1 species